UGGAGGAUGACUGCCAGGGAAUUCGUC
rnacentral:piRNA from 1 species